UUCGCCAACUGGCGAUAAGCAUCAAUCAUACCUUUGGAUAUGAACUUUGCUCUCCAACGGAUACGAGUGAUUCACUUCCUGCCUUCGCCGGCUUGCUCCGAACUACUGCCUGGUGCUGGUCGAUGGAAUUACGGCCAAUGUAUCAUAUUCUAUAUUUGUUAAUUUAAUUUGUGAUUAAAAUUUAUUUUUGUUAUUUAAAUGGCUGGCAGUUUUUAUUAAGUAAAAAUGUUUUAAUACUUUAAUUUAAAGUAAAUUUGGCAAUGCGUGUUAACUACGCACCAAACUGGUGACCCGGUACUUUCUCAAUUACUUUUCGUUAUGGAUUAUUUUGGAUUAUGGUGCCGAGAAGUAAUGCAUCAAGGAUCAGCCAAUGCUGCUGAUGUCCAAUUAUGGAACCUGGUCGACAUAUCCGUAUCCAAGCAAUAGCUUCAGCUGCAGUGAAGUGAUGAUGUUUCAUUAUAUAGCAUGCAAUCAAAGUGCCAGUUCUACCAAGCCCAGCUACAAUACACAUAAAGAAAGAAAUUUAUUAAGCUAGAGAAUUCCAUUUUAUCAAUUCAAAAAUCUACCUCUUGUAAUAAUAAAGAUGAAUGAGUGACUUUUAGCACUCUACAAAUUA